AGCGACAAAGCCGUGAAGCCACGUUAGGAGCAGAUGUACUGCAUGUUUUAUAAGCCUUGAAGGACUUUUUCGGUUGCGCCUGAUGGACUCGCAUCUGCACCUGCAUCUGUACCUAGUGAUUUCUGGAGGAUGGUGUCACUGAUUUCAAACAGCCUCUUUGGGGUCCCAUCUUGCCUGCUAAUGUCACUGCGAAGACACCUGCACAGCACGCAGAAGAAUAAUAGCGACAUGUGAGCGUGCAGUGGGGGCUGGCCUAAAUUUAGCUUUCACAGAGCCAUUUGAGGCAGACAAAAUGCUCUUAUUUUGUGGGGCAAAACGUAAUAUCAGGGAAAGCAUCAGAACAAACUCCAAGCAGCUGUGUCGUCUGAAGCAAAAAACCCCCCUAAAUCCACAAAACUUCAGCGUGUGAUGGGAAGACUGGCAACAUCUGGUAGUCAGGCUAGGAGGUGGGGAGCGGGAACAGCCGAAAGACUCCUGUCUUCCCCUAAAACCUUAGUAUCCCUGGAAACCGCCGUCAUCUCUGUCUUUACCAGGCAUUGGAAAGAAGCGACCUGGUACUUCAGUCACUUGAACCGUUCUGGAUGUUGAGCAGGCUCCUGUGAAUAUGAAAUUUCGGGAGAAGACAGGGAGCAACUUGUCCUCGGGGCCGCUUUCCCUCCCGUUGCUGCGCCUGGGCCGUAGGUAGAUCGCGACCUCGGCAGGGAGGCAGAGCCACUGCCUUCGCACAGCAUCUGCACGUGGAGGCUCUAAUCCUCGUCGAAAGCUGCGGCUGUAUGUUCUGCAAUGUAAACGAAUAGCUCUGGCGAUGCUCUCCCUGCUUCGCAGGCAUGCAAACCGAUGGAUUUAGUUACUUAACCGAGUUCAGACUUUCGUCACUUACGGAGCUGCUUACGGACUGGAGUAACGAUGUCAAGAGCGGACAGCGUGAUGGAAACUUGGCAAGCAAAGCAAGGUUACGUGAUACAUAAAUUCAUAGGUACAGACCUGAGUGCAGUGCACACAUUUCUUCCUCCUUGGCAAGGAGAAACAUUCAUAAGGACUUUGACAAGAAUAUCAGCCUCUUAUGAGAAGGAAUGAAGUGAAAAACAUAAUUUCAGGAGCUCACCUGCGGUUUGUGGUGUUACCAGGGCACUUUGGGUCUGAGUUACUCUGCGCUCUCCGCUCCCCUCCUGCAGCUCCUCCAAGCACCAGAAGCUCCAGAGAAGAAAUGUUGCUGAAUGGAGAGACUUUGGUCCAACUGAAAAAUACCAGUGGUGCUCCUUGAUCCUACCAUCUUCCAGUCUUUGAAGAGACCUUGGUGCCACGUAGAGACUUGCUGGCUCCAGGGACCCCAGCCUCGCUCUGUGGCAGGGAACGAGCCUGGCACAGCGCGGGCCAGGAGGGAAGAGCGUGCUGCUGCGUCUCAGGGCUCCUGCCUGGCGAUAGCAAGGUGAGGCCACAUGCUGAAGAAAGGCAGCUGUGCAUCAUAUCUGUGACGUGUCCUUCAAAUAUCGUAAAGUGUUUCGGCUUGCUCACAGAAGUAUGCGCUGGGCGAGAGACGGAUAGGCAGAGCAAGAGGGCAAUCGCAACGCGAGGCGCCAAGAUGAGAAUCUUUGGUUCAGACGGAGCCCCGGCUGCUAUUACUCCAUUUACCAUUCCGAGAUUUAUCACAGGAUUCAGGUUUUUACAACUAUUGUUUGUCAUCAAAAGAACUCCAAAUAACUUUUUUUUUAAAAAGGUUCUUGUGCCAGACAGCAUUUGGCCUCCAAAGCUAUUUUAAAGGUGGGCAGAGACAGACCAAAAUCUACAUUUAAACUUUAUCCAAUAUUGUAUAUUCAUAACCCAAUCUUUCCUUCCUAUAGCACCGGAAAAAUACACUAUUUCAGUACUCUGUCAUUUUAAAACUUCAUAGUUGGAGAUAAUCACCCAAAUACAUAAUAACAACAUCAUACAAGUACCAGAAAAUAUGUUUGAAAUUUCCUUUUUAUUGUAACAUAAGAUAGUGCUUCCAAAAUCCCAAACUGAAUUGCUUUUCAGUAGAUAAGCAUCAAAAAAUACAUUUCCUGCUUUCGGUGAAGGUGCAAUAAGGUGCUAUAUCAGUGUAAUAGUUCAGAAUGAUAUGCUCUAGUAGUAUUUUGAUGAAUUACAUGAUUAUAGCUAAAAUGAACACUUUCAUCAUGCCUGAAUUAAUAAUGGUGGUAUGAUUUGGCAAGUACUCCUGCAGUGUUCUUUAACUCAUCACUUCAGAAGACAGAGUUUUCGAGCCCAUCCUUUGUCUCUGGGAAACACAGGAAUCCUUUACGGUUUAGAAACACAAGAAGCAGGAGAAAUGUGACAGCUUUAAAGGAGAAAAAGAAACUAAUGCAUGCAUACCUUCUCAAGCUCAUCAGGGCUUAAUUGGUUUAUUUUUCACUGCCUUAUUCCAAUGUCUCGGGCAGCGAACACUGUGUCAAAAAGAAAAAGAUCGGUAUUUUUUGUGAGAAUAGGUUUGCUGUAUUUUAUUUCAAAUAUUGUGCAUUUCCAAAUCAGUCUACAGACCUUUUAAGGACUUCAUUUUCUGUUAGGUUAUCAGUUUUACUUCAGAUCUAGAUUUAGCUGUAAUCGGUGUGUUCACUUCUGUGUCUUCCAAGUUAGUUAGUAUAUGAACAAACCCACACCAUAAUUUUAGUUAUUCUGCGUAUGGCUGUGUGUUGAUGUGCCCAUUUCAGGACUUCUCUAGGUGAUCCAAUGGCAUGCAUUAAAAUUCCUCAGACUGGGGGCUUUCAGGUUAAGUUCUUCCGUAAUAUUGUGAGUAUGUGUGUUGGUGCAGCAAUAAGAAAAAGCUGCCUUGCUGGGGCCAUUAUAGUAUUUUUUUGUGGGUAAUAAAUGAAGGCUCUGAGUCUUUAGGGUUGUCAUCUAGUACCUUUAAUGAGAACUAAUUUUACUUGAAAUAAUAGUAAUAAUAAUCAAUCUGCUGUAGAUAAGAAAUGUAAACUUUUGCUGGCUAUUGUGAAAAAUGGUUAUGUACAAUACAUCAAAAACAUCUGGAACAGAUGUUCCUGUAAUUAUGAUGCACUUUAUGGUUAUGCUGCAUUCAGUGGCUUUUGCUGGUACCCACUGAAGCUGGGUAAUGUUACCAGCUUGUGCCGGUGCGUCCAACUGGAGGGGAGGAGAUGCUGUUUGGGGGCCUGUGCUCUCUGUUUUCCUAAGUGCUUGCUGUCCUUUGAAUUUUUGUUCUUGUUUAAUUAUUAUCCUUUAUGUCUGUAUCAAAUACUAAUUUUACUCUAUAAAAUAUCCCAAGUUUGCUGGUGCAGAAACUCAGACAAAUGUAAGGACACUGUUCUGAACUGAAGUUAUAGGAAAAGUAGUAUGUGGCACAUAGGAGGUUAUAACCACACAUCUCAGGUGUAGCUAGUUAGUGUAGUUAGGUGUUAGUGUAGUUGUACGUGCUGUGAUCUAUGCAGACGAUGGGGGCAAUCAGGUGCUCCCGGGGGCUCCUGCUCUGUUACCGCUCCUGCCUCCCACUCCUCUUGCAUUAGGUGCUUUGGCUACACAGUCAUUUCUGCUCUUUAGCAGGCUUUUUUCUUUUAGGUUUUGGUGCAGAAUAUAUUAAUUUCUGGCACUCUAAUAGUGUAAAACCUGUUAAUAGCUUGUGUAUAGAACCACCACACCGGUUUAGCUCCUGUUAUAAUGAAACAAAUUGUAAUUCUGAAUUGAUUUCUUCUAUGGAAAUACCAGCAAUAUAAAUUACAAUGUCACUAGAAUAAAAAAAGAGGGGGAAAAAAGCCCUUUUUACAAGCCUCAGGAUGAUAAUUUAUAAAUAAACUAUAACUAAGAAGCCUUAACAAAAAACCCCUAUGGAAUCUGGCAUUAAUAGCCUUUACUUUUAAUCUGAUACAAUAAAUCUUGUAGCUAUGCAUCCACAACAGAAAAAACAGAAACCAGGCCACGCUGGAGUAGGUAUGGGGGAGUUGGAGGGAAACAUGUCCUUUGCUAAUUAAAAGUAUAUGGUGAUUUUCUGGUAUUCCAAAGUCAACAAAUCAUCUCUGCCAAUUCGUAGCCAAUCAGCUCAUUCCAAAGGAGGUUUUUUUCGGUUGGACUCUUUGCCUAAAAGCAGUGCAGUAUUGUCAGAGUUUCUAAAUCAUCUGUUCCUUGCAGUUUUCGAUAGUCAUUUUGAGUGCUUGUCUUCAGAUCCCAAAAUGUUGUCAUUUCAUGAGUGUGAUCUUCAGUGAGUUUCUAGCUGUCUUGUGAAUGGCAGUGUUUUAAAAGCAAGUCUAAAUGCCUAAUAUUAACCAUUUUUAUAAUGUUAUGAAUUUUUAAUAUGGUUUUUGAAUGGGAGGAAGGAUGCUGUCAAUGAUUUGUCCAGGUAGGUAGAGAAUGUAAUAAGUUUCUGCAAUGUAAAUGGGGACAGAGAGGAGAAUGAGUGCCAAGGUGUCCUGUGGCACACGUUGGCUGGAGGACAGCACUGGAUGGAGACAGGUCCUUAACCACUUGUGUUCCUGCUAGUAGGUUGAAGAAAAUGCAUCUACUGCAUAUGGUGCACACCAAGAAUGUGAACUAGGGGUUUUUGUGGGCUCAUAGUGUUGCCAGCACCUGACAGUCAAAGAUCUUUAGCUAGAUAUGAAAAAAUCAUGCAGCAAUCUUAAAAAUGUAGUGUAAAAAUAAAAAUACAUUGAUGUCUCUAUUUGACUGCCUUAAGAAAAGCAGUAAUACCCAUAACAGUCCCACGCUAAUCACGGGAUUUUCUCAAUAGUGAUCAGGGCCUGGGGUUCAGAUUUAUCUAUUCUGAGAUGCUAAACUUUUGGAUAUUUUUUUUCUUAAGUCUUGAUAAUGGAAGUAAGAAUUAACUGUAUGUUUUACUCAGUCAUGAUGAGGAGCACUGAUAAAAUUUUGUAUUUCCAUGCUGGUCUGUGUCAAACUAAGAGGACUUGGACAGCAGGUUUUACCUAUGUGUCCCGCACCAACCGUAUCAGAGAAGACCUUGUUCUGGCUACAAGAUGGGUGAGUUCAAAGUGAUGAUUGUUCCUGCAAGAACUUGCUCUGCUAACAUGGAGGCCCAGAUUUGAGCCAAACUCUUUGCUUGACUCAUGAAUGGUAAUUUAGAUUAAGCAAACUGUCCAGCCCUUUAAACACUUUCGUGAUAUAAAUAAAGAACAAAUAUCUUGCAUCUGCAGAGGUUUCCAACACUUAGAUUAAAUAAACUUUCAACAGUCAGAUUAAAUAAAAGACAGUUUAAAAAUUUUUUUCUUCAUUUGUUUCUUGGCCAUUGCCAAAAUGGUGUGAAAGUAGUAAGUAUAUAGGACCAAUGAACUUAGUCACUGCUCGAAAGAAAAAGGAGAGUUCAUGACUUAGCUUUGAUAAAUAUUUAUAUAUUUUGAAAUUUGAACUUAUUUGGCAAACGCUAUGACUGGGUAGAUAAGUACACGUACCUGAUGCAGUCCUCUGACAGUAACUUAAGGACAAUACUUUUGAGCAAAACUGUAAAGCAAAGGCAUGCCUACCAUGAACCUCAGAAGGAGCUGAACAAAGAUAUUUAAGAGUACAGUUUGUCCUGUUACUUGUAUAUCUGAAAGGAAUUUCACAUGCCACAGUUCUACGCGUAUUUUUUCUCAUUUUAGAGCAUUAUUUUCUCCCUGAGUGCCUGGGGGCACACAGACGGUUUGUAUUGCAUAUGAUGGAAGUAUACUCAAAAAUAUUCCUCAAAAAAAGAAAACUUUAUAAAAGAGAAAUCCUACGUUCCUUUUGGGUAUUUCUGUGUCAUAGAUGAUAUGUAACAUGUAUGGAGCAUGUACAGUUUUUCAGCGUUGGAUGUAGUGCUGCUCAGUUUUAAAGAUCCCUACCAGGGGAGUUAUGCCAAGGCUUUUUGUGUAUAAUUUUUAAUAACAGUAACAUAAAAGUCUCAUUGUCUUAAGUCUAUUCCUAAAACAGAGCAAACCGAGAAACCCACAAAGUCAGUGGUUGGUUGACUCGUGCUUUCUGGAAUGUGAAAACAUCUGACCAAGAUUGUAUUAACUGAAGAUUAAGCGAAAAAGGAAAUUUCACCCUUUUGCAGGGCAGAGUGCUGCCAGGAGCAAGCAUUAUCCCAUUGUCAUGCGUCGUGCGUAAUUGCCGGUCUGAUGGGGAGCUCGGCGAUUAGCAUCACCCUUCUUCAACCAGGGACUGCAUAUGCCAGACCGCCGCCUGUUAUGUCAAGCCACUUAGCCAUGAACCAUCAGGGUGGAGAGUGUUACUAAACGCCCUUAUUUCUAGGUCACACAGAUGCAGAUCGUCCUGAAUAUUUCUCUGGACAAAUUGCUAAUCGCUACCUUGUUCAAAGUCUGUUGGACAUUUCCUGUGUGCGGCAGCUGAUCGGGAUUUUUUUAAAGCAGUACAAGCAAUAAUAUGAAGCUCAAGUAUGAGACCUUCAUAAAAUGGUGUAUAAAACAACCAAGUACAGUAAAUUAAACAUGAUACUCAUUACAUAAAUACAAUUAUAUUUAUCAGCCUUUUAUAACCACACAAAGCAUUUACCAGUAAGAGUUAUUUUGGAGUAGAUAAUUCCCAAUUAACUUUUACUACUUUAUUUUUGCUAAUUUAGUUAGAUUUAAUUUUUCAAAUAAAAAAAAACUGUAUCAAAUGGCAUCUCUAACUAUUACACUGGAGAUGAGAUAUAAUUAAAAUGUUAUGUGUAUGGAAUUGCAGCUGAUGGGAACCUCAGCUUAAACUCUUAUUUUUGUCUUUAUUUGAUUGUUGCCUGCAUUGCAUAGAUAACAUGAUUGAAUUGCAAGAUGGCUGCGUGCCCACAGUGACAACAGCGUGAGCUUGGAGAAGAGAGUGAAGGAAAAAGCUUGAAACAAAAAUUACCUGCAAAACGGGACAGAUCAAGGUUUGGCCUUAAAUGUACUAAGGAAUGCUGUGGGAAGUCCUUCUCUGACUGUAUAGUUUUCUUUGGUAAAGCCGAACUUUGGCCUCUUGCAAGGUUUGGGUUUGCUUGCUCUGCACCUAGGGAAUGUCCCCACCUCCUAAUGUGGCUGACUGUGCAGCACAAAGAAGACUCCACCUAAAAUUGCCACCAAAAUUACAGCUUCAAGCCAAGCCAGCUCUGUUGGGUAAGGUGUCCUACCCAGCAAUCUGAGGUUUUUUGGUCUCUUUUCGGCUGCUUGUUUUCUUCAGGAUGGUGUUAAUACUGGGGAAGAGGCUCUUUUGGGGUGGGGGAUACAGAUGGAAUCCAUUGAGAAAGUCUCUUUAUGGUUUUGUUGUGGGUUUUUUUUUUAAUCCUUCAAAAUGAAAAGAAUCAGCCAUUCUGAGAGGGCUUCCAACCUAGUUUUCAUUUUUCUGUUUCUUUCCUUGUCUUAAAAACAUAGUGGAAACUGAGGGUACUGGAUUCAGUCAUCUCAGUUCCACUAUAGACCUGCUGUGUGUCAGAUUCCCCAUCCGAAAAACUGGAAUAAUACAAUUAUUCUUCCAAGGGAAGGGUUAACAUUUGGGAAGGGCUCUGAGGCCAUUUCCGCAGGGUGCGAUGCGAGAUGGCACCGAUGCUGAUCAGCCCUUUCAGGGUUAAAUACGCUGAAGGUGGUUGCUACAGCCGUGGAGGUACAGCUUUUGGGUCUGGACGUAGCUUGGGGGGGUUGUCGGACCUCGGGCCAUUGGGUAGACACGCUCGGUGGCUUUUCACAGGGGAGGUGCUGUGGUGAUGCGUAAUCUUAUUAAACCAAACCUCUCUUAAUUUCAUCCGUCACUAAUAAUUAAAAUGUAAAUGCAGUGUUGCUAAUUGUGUUUCAGACAAUAUGAUUUUAAAAUAAAAUAAAUGUGAACUUCAGAUGUUCAACACAGCUUUAAGACAAGAAUUAAUGUGUUUUACCAGAGAAGGGGGGCUUAUGCUGAGGGUAAAUAUCAGAGCUAUCUUUCUAAAGGCUUACAGUUACAGUUACAGAUGCCCUGUUCAUUACUUUGGAUGUGUCACAUUUGCUAGUAUGACAAGAUGUAUUAUGGACGAGGAAUUUUACAGAUGGAGAGAAAUACCCAUGUAAGUUGUUUAUUUGAUUUUUUUCAAUAUUUUUCCUUUUCCUUUUACUACCCUGGCCAACCUUGGGAUAAUGGAAUUAUUUUAUGCCUUCUGCACUAUCAUCAGGCUUUGGAUGGCUGCACAAAGGCCACUGGCAACGGAAUAAGAUGGCUGUAAAAAAAUGCAAAAAAUUGGGAUAGAAAAAAAAGGUACAACCAAUAACUUGCCCUUAAAUUUAAAAGGAACUAAAUGAGGAACUUCUGGACAAUUUAUCUUGCUGUUUACAGAUAACAAGUCACUUUGUUUUUAUGUGCUCAGUCUAGUAUUCCAUAAUUUAUUUGAAAGAAGAUGAGAAAUAAUGUAGAUAAAUGAUGAAGUGUCAGGGUCUGACGCUCUUAAAUGAAGCUAUUAUGGUCAAAGAGAAAACGUAAAACCUGCGGCUCAUUAUGAGAGCGUUCUACUUGUCAGUUAAGUGAAAAGGCCUGGAAUGAUUUCCAGUUUAUUUGUCAUUGCAGUUAUUAAAGCUGUCUUUUUGGUGCCAUGAAAAUGAAUUGAAGACUUUAUUCGAAGUAAAUUUGUACUAAAGCUUUCAGAUGUAUCUUAUGUGAGUUCAGUGAGGCAAGAAAACAGCUUAAAAGCUGAAAUAUUACAAGAAGGCAACUACUGAAGUCCUGAAACACACAAGAAUAUAAAGUCUGAGGAAGUUACACAGAUAAAUGAAGUAUUUCAUCUCUUGGGAAAUAAAGCUUAGUUUUACUAUAUUGUACACUUAGACAAAGAAAUCAGCCCUUGUUAGUGGCAACAAAAUAUUGUCUUUCACGGCAUAGUGCGUGGUGCUCACUUUUAUAUCGAGCUAUUAAUUUUGGGAUGACUUUACCAGAGAAGCGGAGCUUCUUUAUGCCGUUCUGCACUUUGCGGGUCUCUUGGUCAAACGGUAGAUAUUAUUUAUAGUAACGGCAAAGUUAGGGGGUUUUAUGGUCAUCGUGGCCAAUGUGGCUCAACGACAGAACAAGAGAGAGCACAGAAGAUGAGGGGUUUGGUGAGACCAGCCCGGUCUGACCCGUUCCCCGAAUUGAAUGACCGGGCUAGAAGACACCACGUCUGGCUACAUGGGAUGGGAGAUGUUAUUGGCAUUUCUCUCUCUCCUCACCCAGUCUUAAAACACUUCGCGAGCCUUGUGUAGCUUGGAUGUUAGAGUUUUAUUUCACUGCUGAACUCAAGCUAGCCCUACCACUGAGGCAGUCAUUGACACUCGCUUUAUUGCAAAUCCCUUCUUGAGAUUCCUUCUACUAAACUGUACAUCUCGAAUUUAUGUAGAAAGCUUUGGUAGGUUUGUUUUAUUCUGUCUAUUGCUCUGGACUUCUUUUCCAGUAGUUAUGUUCCCCACAACUGCUUCGUAUUUGCCAAGACAAAUUAGUGUUAUACUGAGUUUGGACUGUCCAAAAGGAAAUUAAGAGUCUUUUUUAUUUUAAAUUGAAAGCUGUAGGAGCACUAAACCGAAUACUUAACUCCAAGCUCCAGCAGUCUUACAGCAGUAUAGUUGACACUUUAUUGCAGAUAUUACAAAUGUUAUGACAUGUCUUCAGGGUCAAGUUAAAAACAAAAAGGGUUCCACAUUCUCAUCAGAAGUAAUCUGUCAGUUUUGUCAUCAGAUAUUAUAGCAACCCUCAGUAGCAGCAUCACAGUCAAGGGUUUAUCAGGCUCUGUAGUAUAUGUGUACAUACUCUGAUUUCCAGGGGUUUAUAUCUGCAAUAAAAAUUCCUUCUGGGCUAAAACUUGGCAUUCAUAGCCCAGAGCAAUUGUUUUUUAAUUAAAAAAAUAGUAUAAGUGAAGGUUUUCCUGAAAGAUAAGAGCACAAAAAAAUCUAUUUUAAAAAUACUUUAAAUCUUUUAAACUGGCAAACUUCAGAUAUUUAAGAGGCCAAGUCUCUUUGCAUAAGAGACUGUUAAAAGGGCAACCCAGGAAGGGGCGAGGUGGUGGAGCAGACAAGUGCUUUGCGGUCAUCGUGAGUGCAAGUGUCGAGCAUUUGAUGAGAUGUAUAAUUAGCAACACGUUUGUAAAGCUCUUGGUGUCUUUUUCUAUUGAAACGGUGUGUGAGGGAAUUAGAACCUCUGGUGCACAAAUAUACAUCAUUUCUUUCUUGCCACCCCCUGGCAUGGUCCCGCAGAACAGCACCUAUAUGGGGAAGCUCUUUGGGUAAGGCAGACCUGCCGACACACGUGGUACCUCUGUGCUGCACAGAAACCCAGGACUUCGUUUUCUACAGCUGCCAGUCUGGUACUUUUUUGCUUCUGUUUCCAUUAUGGUAGCAACAUUUUCCAUUUAGAUGGAAAUGUGAGAAGGAAAGCAAAGCAAAUAAUAUGCCCUUGCAAAUAAUGAUAUGGAGGGGAUGCAAAAUGUGAGCGGUUACUGUACUGAUGUUCAUCAUGCUGGUCAAGACCAUUAACCUUGAGUGUUCAUUAUUGCUAGGUGAUGUUGGAGGGUUGGUCUUUGAAUAUAUGGUGAGGAAAGUAGAAGCACCAUAAAGAUAUAGAGAAGUUUGUAUUAAACUGUGAUGCAAGCUGUACUGUCUCUUAUCACUUCAAAAAUUCCAUCCUUAAGCCUUUACUUGGAUGCCCCAAACAGACAUUAUAUAAGUAUUUGGAAGUGCUCCGUGUAAUACAGUGUACUAUAAUACCAAGCCGCGGGUGCCACCUGGUCCUAUUUAGAGUCUGUGGCUCAGGGACUCCUGUAACUACUAGGGCAUAUUAAUGAGUCACCCGGGGCCUCCGUAAAGUGCUGGCAAACCACUAGGAAAUGAGCACUGCUGUGUAACAGGAAGGGACCACACUACAGUAUAUGUCUGCAGAUUAUUAUGUUGCAAUUCAGUUGACUUCCUAAGAGGAAAAGAAAAGAAAGUGAGUAAAGAAAAUCAACCCUGGGAGUGUUCUCUGCCGCGUGAAAGGAGAAUCGUCCUCAAAUAACCCUGCCGGUGCUCCAUUAGCGCUCUCACAGAGGCCGACCUCUUAAAGCAAGGUGAAAGCACAGCUAAGGCCUUCCAUUAGAGGAGGAUAAAUGGGCUCUGGGAAGAUGCUUGGUGUUUUCCGUUGAAUUCAGCAGCAACUGGAGAGCCCUCAGACAUAGCAGUGGAGAAGACCCUGCCAGGGUGUCUGCUCCGAGGGCGUUGCUCUUGAGCUCUUCCCGCGCGAGCACCUUGCCUUUGCCAGCAGAAGCUGCUUCCAAGAACUGUUAAGAGACUGCUAGGAAAAAAGACUGAGGUCAGGCAUAGUCUAAUUUAGUCGUGUUUUGUUUUAUCCUUUUUUUUUUUUUUUUUAAUGUGUGUGACAAAUCUAUUGCUUGCUAUCAAGAGUUUAACUCUUGGCUGGAACACAACUUCUUUUCACGCUGAAGUUCACUGUAGUGCUAAAGGUGAAUUCAAAGGAUUUUGAGCAGUCCAAGGCACAUAUUUUCCCACGGGCAAUGGAGCGAUACCGCAGAGUCUGGCAGGGUGUCCCAGGGCAGGCCAGCUUGGGGAGCUGAGAAAUAGGUGGGUGUUUCUUGGCGGGCUGCAAGAGUUGGGGGCUGCUAGUGCCAAGAUCCAAAAUACAGGAGUUUUUCAGGAGUUACUCAGUUGCUAUCAAUGCUGGGGAGACAUGAGCCAGCACCGAGUAAAUCUCUUCAUCACUGAUAGCCAAAGAGGGCAGGUGUGACUCUGAUCUUUCAGUGUAAUGUAUUAAGAAUAUUCUUCCAGUUAACCUAUUUAUAAUAACCUUUAGCAAAUAUGGAUAGACCCACAUUUUCCACAGUAUGCUUAUUUUUUAGAUCUGUUUUUGGAUUUUUAAAAGCUGUUCCUAUUCUUAGUGCCUUUGGACGUAUACUGAGAAGGGGACACCCAUUAGCCAUCAACUGCUUCUGCAAAGUCAGUUCACUCACCCAUAUGGCAUUUGUGGGCACUGGAUUUGAGUGAGCAUAUUUAGGUACAUUAGUUUCACUGACCACUGAGGCCUAUUUCAUACCUGCCCUGUGGCACAAAUUCCCCUAGUUUCAGAUGACAGCUUCCUACUGUCUGCUAUUAGAUCUCUAGAAAUGCAUAAUGUUUCCAAUAUCUGGGUAGCUCCUGAUGAGUUCGAGGUAAAGGAUGCUUUUGGAAGAAGGGGACUAUUUGAAUUGCAAAGGCUUGUAUUUAAAACCAACAACACUGCUUUUCUUUUUGCUCUAGCAAAUGCAUAGAUGAAUGCCGUUCUGUGACGCUGUAAUAAACUUCCAGUUUCUGCAUCAAGCAGACUACAGCUGAUGGUGACAAGUUUGAUCCUCUACAGCAAGAUAUAAUACUGAUGGGAUGGAAGAUGAAGGGACUGUCCCAAGGGAAGGAAAAUGGUUUCAGUAGAGGCCCAUAAAUACAAAUCUAAGUACUCUUUUUAGUAGUGCUGGUCUAUUAUUACAGCCUAAAGGAGGUUCAUUUAAUUAAUAAUUAAGCUCCUCAUGUUCAUGUUGCUGUCAGUAUGAACCUUAGCAUUAGAAAUGGCCAGGAUUUUUUUUAUAAUGAAGCAGUUGCAUGACAUGGCAAAGAGAGCACCAUAAAAAAAAAAAAGCCAAAACUUUUGCCAGAAACAUGUGCCUGUUUUCUAAAGUUUCUUCAGGUGCAGGAAGGAAUUCCUGAUUAAAGCCAGGCAGAAAUCCACACCAGACUAGCCCGCAUCAAAUAGCCACCACAAUUAUCCUCAGCUUUAAUGAGACAGCAUAGAGGCAAUGAAUGUAUUUCAAAUUCCCUCGGCAUCAAACUCCUUACUGCUCGGAAUGGCCUUCUGCAGUCUCUCCAUUUAUAUCUGCUCCAACGUGAUUAAAAAAUCAGGCCAGGGUUGUUCUUCUGUGCAUUUCAGGUGAUCACCAGCCGUGGAUGCUGUCCGUCUGUCCGUUUGCCCGGCCGGCCGUGAGCCGUGGUCCCUGGCUGUGGUGCUAGACCCCAGCUGCCUCCGGCCCCCUUCGCUGCGCGCUCCUUCUGGGGUUUGGACAAAUUGCUUCAUUUCCCAGUCUAUAAAUUCUAGCGAUAGCAGCUAACUCACUGGGAUUUUGCAGAUGGCAACCCACAAAUAUGUAUGAAGUGCCUGUAGAGUGCCUUGGGUUUUCUAGGUGCACCUUGCUACAGAAAUGCAAAAUGUUCUUGGUCUUGAAAUAAUAUUAUUCUGUAUUUUCAUCUGUAUUUAACCAAUUUAUGUGAUUAAGAGCUGGUUUUGCUUUGUAUUGUUUUAUCCACAUUCCUAUUUCCUUCUGUGUUAUCUGUUGUGUUGCAGUUCACCAGCUUAUUUGGUUUUCUCUUUAAUCACUGAUACGACUUGAUUCGAAACCUCUUUGAGCAGCUUAUUCCGUGUGGCAGCUGUACGCCAACAGAGCAGUUUUGCCUCUCUGUUACUGUGUCAGGCCAUACACCUUCUUCUUCAGGGUGCAGAAAGAGGGAGAAAAUACUCAUUCUUGAGGCUUGGUGGUUGCUACCCUCCUAACAGGGUGGACUGUGGACCGUAAAUCUUACACAGCAUGCGAGGAAAAACUGUUCACAUAUCCUAUCAUGAGCAUUAAUUAAUAGGUUAGCGUGGAUCUUUCUGUAUUGUUAUUAUGCAGGUAAGCUUUAAAAGGCGGUAUAUUGUGAUUUUUCAGGCUCCUGUGCCGUCUGGGACGCAGAAAAGGUUGCUCCUGGGCGGCUGGAAAGGAGCGGUCAGUCCCCGCGCUCGGCUGCCGGGCUCCCGCCUUGGUCCCGUGCCCGGGGAUGGGACGAUUCGCUCUGCCCUUGCAGGGUGCGAGGCUGGGGGCAGUCUGGCGGCACAGUAUUAAUAACCCGGAUGCGGAGGAUCAGGGUCAGGAAGAAUUUUUUAUUUUGCUUGAUGAUGUCACCGGAGAUGGGACUUUAUUUAUUUAUUUUCUUAAGCCUGUGCAGCCAAGUCACACCGAAUAUAAGCCGGCUUGUCUCAUUGUGGACGGGGAGGAUGAUCCAAUAGUUCAGAGUAAAGGAAUAAUAGCGAGGAUAGUCUGUGAAAAUGGUAUGUUAGAAAACGAGGGACAAAAUUAAAGUUGCUGAUCACCUGCCUUUGCUGACAUUACUUUAUAAACUAGAGACUUUACUAGAAAAAAAAAAAAAGAAAAAGAUAGUAAUUCUCUAUACUGCAUAGUCUUUAGCUGAGUGCAUUGAAUUCAGCGGUGACUGUCCUGUAAAGGUGAUUAGAAGUGUGGCAUCAUCAGCGUCGAUAAAUAAGCUAUUAAAGUUUUGAGAGUCUGAGAAACUGGGAAAGCAUAGUUUUGAUUUUUUCUGCCAAACUGCCUAAGUGCAAUACAUUCUGGAUGGAGCCCAGGAGUCUUCUCUCUCGCCCGCGUCCGUCCACGCAGGGCAGCGUUUCUUGGGGCUCUGCCGGCUUUGGCCAGCCAAGCGCCCCGCUCCGGCUUUUUACGGGAACAGUGCUGGGAAGCGGCUCCUUCCCAAGACGAUCUCUACUGCCUCUCCUUUGGCUCGUCUUUCUAACACGUGCCUUCUGCCCCAUCUUUCACAUAAAUUACUUUGUACGCAGGUAUCAUUAAUGAUGCAAGUAAAAAUCGUGCAUAAGGAUUUCUCACUUCUGAAAGCUCGGGAGUUCCCUUUUCUAUGAUUUUUUUAGCAUUGAAACAUUAAUUAGUAAAAUAGGUAGCAUAGUGUCACUGCAUCUGUGUCCGUGAAAAGCAUUUGUAUAACGCAAAAAUAAAAUGAUUUUUCAGAAGUCUGGAAAGCUCUAAGACAAAAUUUAAAGUUAAUUUGACAGGCAAGAUUUAAAGAUGGAAUGCAUCUAAAAUUUCAUUUUCUUAUAAUAGCAUUUCCAUGUACAAGUGGAUUUGCAUCACGAUAAUGUGCAGAUAACCUCAUGAAGUAAGUAGAUGGUCUCAUUAGCAAUUUCAUGUAAAACUUCGGUGUUAUUCCAACUUACUGAGUAGUGCUACGGUGGUGCUCACCGCCCUAAAAUAUGCAAAAUUAAUAGGGGGAACAUCAGUAAAAAUGGUUCCAGAGACAUCCAACCUGCAAAGAUAGAAAUGAAUUAAAGAGAAAAUCUAUGACAUUUGACUGCUCUUUUUUCCCUGCCUGAUUUAUCUAUAAUUCAGACUGCUUAACUUAACUUAAAUACAGAUACCAUAGUUGGAGUAUUUGUUAAAGCACUAAGCUGACAAGUACAGAGCGCUGGCCAUUAUUCCUGCUGGAGAGUCAGAGGUUUGAGCUAUUCAUUUUGCGGGCCGACACUCAGCACCACAAUUCCUUGAAUUCCCAAAGCUUUUCAUACGGCUUCCUCAAGGACAGCUAUCAUGUCUUAGCUGCUGCAGUGACAGAUGGGAUACAAUGUGUCAUGUGAUGGAUAACGCUGGAGCCACAGUACUUAAUCCUUCUAAUACUAAUAGCGGCAUUAUCAUAGAGAUUUAUGAGAAUGUCAGUUCCAAGUUCCCAGUUCCAUUCAUGGGUUUUUAAAACUUCAGCUGCAAAAAACAUGCAUCCAUCCCAUUAAUUCUAAUUAUCAUGGUUCAUCUUCUCAGCAGUUUUGUACUCCGGAACCUUUCAGUGCAAAUUAACGUACCAAAAAAGUGUAUUAAUUAAUAUUUGUAGCUUUUAAUUUCUGCAAGAGUGUUGUCUGGAAGCAGCUGGCAGUACAGGGCCGCUGCUAUUGAAUCUUUGCCAAACAAGUGCAGAUGUAAUUUUGUUAUCUCUUGCUUAGUCAUUUACGCAAAUUAAUUUGAACAAUUAGCCUUUUACUGGUCCUUCAUGAAUCAUGCAAAAGGGAUCUGCCAAAAAAUUGCUAGUUGACAGAAAAGAAUUGGUUAACAUUGUAAAUCUUAGAAAAAGGUAUUACUAUGUUUAGGAUAAAGAACGACUUCAGUAAAAAUCUUAGUAAUUUUUUUUCUGUGACUUCUCUAUUCCACUUCAGACUGUUGAUGACUGUUGGAGAAAAAGAAUCUAAAAGGCAAGUAGGCUGUAGAAAUUUGGGAAGUUUGUUUUGGGUGAACACCAAGAAGGAAAGAUUCUUGACUAAACGUUGGCUUGUCCACGUUGCUUGUGGGGUUGUGCCAGGCUUCCUUGGGCAGGGUUAAGUUGGACAUACCAAAGCAAAGCGUUUGCUCAUGGUCUGAAAAAACCCACAUCCUUGGUUUCUUCGGACACCGUCCUAGAGGAAGUCUGUUUUCUUACCCAAGUGUCCCUCCUCUGAAUAAAACAGGCUUCCACGUGCCCACUGCAGCCUUGAUCUCUGGAGAUGCUAGGUUUUGCCUUCGGGUAACACAACAUGCCCAUGAGUUAAAAUGUUUAGGUGACUAUUGCAGAGAAUGCCUACUCAUAUGCCAAGGCCAGGCUUGAAUGACAGCAAACUCAGAUGUUUCAAGGAAUUGCAUCGUUGCUGUUUUCUUAAAUAUCCGACACAUUUUAGUCAGAUAGGCAAAAUUAUCAAGAUCACCAGUGAACAGUGCCCUUCAGAGACUUUGAAUAAUGCUGUGAGUGAAAAUCUCUUAUUUGCUGUUUACACAGAAGAUACAGUCACAAUUUUCUCAUAACUCGUAUAUAUUAUUUUUCUUUAAAUUGCAUUGCACAGAUAUGAACAUUAUGCUGGAUAUUCCUAGAUGCAACCUCUCAGGUAGAUUUUCCAAUCUGGCCAUGACAUCUCAGCUGCGUUCAUAAUUACCUGUGCCUUAGAUUCCUCUGUUAAGACAGUUGUUGCAGUUUUACAAUGUGAUGGGAGGUGCGUUAAGGAAAAAAAUCCCUACCUCGUGCUCUGGGAAUACAAUUUGCAUUGCGUUCAGAACCGAGUGCAUGAGAAUAAAGUUACUGAUGUAUUUAAGUGAAGCUUAACAAUUUUGUCUAACCGCUUCUCUGCCUCCUCCGCCUUGACAAGAGGGUGGCGCAUGGUGACCUACGUGGACAGUCAGGCUGUCACGGCUGCCACCCAACCUGUCUGUCUUGCAGAGCAGGCAAAGCUCGAUGGGUUUCCUUGGGCACUAAGGGCACUUUCAUCUCGGUUAGCAAGGCUUUCCUGAAGUGUUUGCCGUAGCUAGGCUGAUCAUGUUAGAAUUAAAUUGUUUGGUAGAAAUCAAGUUCGAGCUCCAACAAAUGAUGCGUCUCUGUUAACUGAGCCCCACAGUCCUGGGCGAAUUCCCUCACUGCGGCGUAGUAAGGUGUGGGUGCCUUCCUCUCAAAUUGUUUCUGUACAAGCUGCGCUUUCACAGCCUGUAUUGUUAUUUCCAUUUGUCCGUUUGAUUGCAGAGAGAAGAGACCAGAUGUUGUGUGACAAAUCAUAGCUAUUUGCAAUCUGUUGGAAUUCUUAUAAAUCGUACUGGGGAUCAUUUUCUGAUAACUGAUCCUGCAAUCACUUAUGCACGUGCAUCACUUAGAGCCUGAGAUGUCCUAUUGAAGAGUGUGGAUCUAUUCACACGCUUAAAUUAAGCACGCAUCAUGCACAUUUGUGUAAAUGUUUGUGUUGCAAAAUAUGCUGAUAUUUAGGAAUUGCCUGUUAGGUUCACCAUUGCAUUAACUUACAUGCAAUCAAAUCAUAUAUUAUUAUUACACUGUAAAAACCGAUAUCAGUUAAUGUUUUUAUUGUAGUAUGAAAUAUAUGGCUCCAAAUUUCGCUUAAGUAUAUCCUGCGACCAAGAGAUCCCAUUCUGUUUACUGAUUUGCAAUUCACAACAAAUAGUUCUUUCGGUAAAGUGCAUCAAGCCCAACUCUGUUAUCCAUCUGUUUUUAGGGCGUAUGGCUAAUCAAGGAAGUGGUCUCUCACUGACACACUGAGAAGAAUGAAGUUAGUUCCUCCGUAAUUGAAAGUAUCAGUAGUAAACUUGGCUGGAGCUUGAUUAAUGGUAUAUUAAAAUCAGAGUCUUCAUGGUGAGUGCUAGAUAAGGAGUUUUGGGCAAAUUACUUGGUUACUGGGAAGCCUUUAAAUUUUAAUCAUGGAGACACUUCAGCAUCAUUAGGAACUGAAAAAGACAAUGGGCACUGCGAGGAAGUUAUGUGAAUUGAUGUGCUUUUCAAUCUCUUCUUCUGUGGUGAUAUUGAGUGAUGCAUGGGCUGCAAUUGAGAAUCCUCUUGCUCCCCAUGCCUUUGAUUGCUGUUGUUAUAAUUUAAUAUUAUACAGUUCUUUAUGAUCAUGGAAAUCAGAUGAGUUAGUUGCAAAAGAUGGAAGGUUUUAGUAUUAGAAAAAUUAGUUUAACAUCACAGUUUUUCUAUGCUAUCUGGCUGGGUAGCAAAAUGGAUGGAUGCUUUAACUUGCAUUUAGAAUGAGUGGGAAUAGAAAAACAUGCUCUUUUGCACACAUGUUUAUUGUUUAAUGUGAUAUCAACAUUAUGAACCUCAAACAUAUAUUUACACUUUAAUUUGAAGACUAUUUUUAUAUGGUGAGUAUGUGCAUAUCAGUAGAGUCUAAGGAUGCAUAUAUGUAAUGGCUAUGCUGCAUCUAUAUUUAUAGAGAUGUGAUAGAUAUAAUAGCUUUAUGAGAAUAUGUAUGGAAUGUGGAUGUCUCUCCUGGGUGACAGGUUCAAUUCAAGCAAGUGCCAGUAAAACCAAUACACUGCAUGCCUUCACUCACGUCUUUUCUUUCUGACUGGGACUUUCAAGGGACUCUAAGGAUGUUAGGUGCUCAGCUCCAAUAUCAUUCAAUGGGCUAGAAAUAUUCAGCAUAUUUGAAGUGACAGCAGGGGCUAUCAAAUUCAGUCCCCUGCUUUUCCAGGCAACUGUACGAUGGAAUUGAGUUCAUAAAGUGACCAAACUAAUUUAAAAUUAGGUCCUUUGUUUGCCUCCAUUACUACUAUAGGAGAACCUCUCUGCUAUCUGAAGAUGUCAUUUAGACAUAUUCUUCUAACAGUGAAAAUUUAUCUAUAGUCAGUAUAGGCCUAUUCAUAUUUGCACCAAUAUCGUCUAGUGAAUUUAAAUAGUUUUAAGUGCCAGCCUUCGUUCAUUUUGCUGGGCUAAAUAAAGCACUUUCUUUCCUUCCCAUCUCUUAAGAAAGGUUCACCUUUAGCCUGCCUAUCUCUGUAGGCCUUCUCUGAUCCUCUUCCAUAUUUUGAUCAGUUUUCUUCCUGUGCAUGAACAAUUUGAAGCACCAAGUUAUCCAGACAUGGUGUUAACACGGGCUUGCACAACUGCAUGAAUAUUCUCCUAAUGCUAAUGGGAAGACUUGACCGUUUUCUAUCCUGAGCUGAUCCAUUUGCUGUUGUGUUCAUGGUUGCACCACAUCGGUGGCUUAUUCCCAGCAUUUUGUGAAAUCUUUGCCUUCCUCUGCUAUUUCCAAGCAGUAAGUUCUGUCUGCAGAAAUACUGAUGAUUGUGUACUGAUACACAAUGAUACUGAUUAGUUUCAAAAUGGUGAACUUUCUGUGUUAUUCAAGUUUGUGUUACUAAAUUUUAUCCUACUUCUGUCAUUGUAGUCCCCAGAUCAUACAAUCUUACCUGCAUUCUGGUACUCCUUUGGGUUGGCAGUGUCUUCCAAAUUCAUGUCAUGAAAAAAAUUUAAUUGGUAUACGAGCAGUCUGUGUCAAAGUAAUUAUCAAAACUGUUAAAUAAAAUCAGUUCUGACACCUAGGCCAAGAGGGAUUAAAAGUGAUUUGUCCAAAGUCACAUUGGAGUGCCGUGAAGAAGAUGCUCUAAAUCCCAGUGUGUUCUCUAAAUUACAGAAACAUUCAUUUUCUUUCUAAAGGAACAUUUACUGGGCCAUGAACUAGAAAGCUGUAAGCUAAGAAAAGAUUUCUGUCUAGGAAAGAGAGAGCUUGUUGCAAACAAAACUACUCUUGCUCAGAUAAUGGUGUUUUGUAGAAAAAGAAACUUUUUGCAAUACGUGCAUCAGGCACUAUAGGAAAAGCUUGUUGAUCACACCAAAGGAAAACUCCCACGCAGUCCUGUUUGGCUGGAAAUUCAGUGCAUGAGACAUUUAUGUAGGAUGUAGGAAACAGAAGGCUAAGCUGCUGGCCUCAAGAAAGCAUCGUCCCAACCUCCAGGUAGGUCUUCUGUGCUCCCCGUGACCACCCCGUUCACCAGCCGAUUGCCCUGUCCUCUUCCUUACUCAUCUUUUUUGUUUUUUUGGUAGGGUCUCUUUGCUUGUUUUCACACGCACACGUAACUCCCAACAGCUUUGAAGGCUCUUGGCUUCCUGUUGAUGUGCACUAUAAACAUUUUUAAAACUAUGAUAUUUUUCAUGGAGCAGGAGCCCAUUCUCCACCCAGAACUGCCGCAGCCUGGAGGCCGAGUUCUGGCAAUGCAAGAGAAAAUGCCAGACCUGAAAGGGAGAGCGAGAAACAUGUCCUGGCAGGGUGAGUUGGGCUUUUUUUUUCAUUUAAUAAAUGAUGUGUACUUAGGGAUUUAGAAUAUUAGAACAAGUCCUAGGGGAAUAUGGAUUUAAUGGAAGGGGAUGAAGUUGUUGUGGAAACAUAUCUUUAUUCAAUUUUCUCAUUCGGGUGUUUAUUAUAUGAUUUAUAGAGACUUAAGCUUAUUAGAUGACCCUUUUUAAUUUGUCACAUAGUGAUUGUGUAUAUGGAUAUAGCCACGUUGCAGGUGUAUUCAGAUGCUCAGACAAAAUCAAAUGCUACAGGAAACCAUGCUGAUCAACUGAUCUACUUUCUUUUACAGUGAAAGCCCUAUAAUUUCAACCAAUAUUGGGUCAUUCCAAUACAAAUAUAUUCUGUGUAUACAGCAUAUAUUUCAGAAACGUUCUUGAGCUAUAUGAUUUGAAAAAAUACAUUGUAUAGUAUUAUGUAGAUUUUUUUUGGUGUAUUUGUGUAUGACCUAAUAUAAAUAGGACCGUAUUCCCAGUGGUAUAUAUUGUCCCGUGAUUUCACAAAUACAUCGUUUUAUGUUUACAAUGUCUAAUUGUGGGCUUAAAGCUGGAGAGAAAUUUGAGGCAUCUCAUAUAAAUAUGCACUGCUUAUCUAAUGUGGUUUAGAUUUGCCUAAUCAGCCUCGUUGAAGAGUAGCCUGUGUGUGACAGGCUUGGAUUAUUUAUUAGUUUCAGACUGUUGGUACAGAAGGAAGUAUGAAAAGUUGCAUUGAAAUGCAUCUUGCAUUUCUAAAGUGCAGGAAAGAGCUCAAAAGAUGCAGUGUUUUUAAUUGCCUUUGCAGCCCUCUGAAUGACUGAACCUGGAGGACGGCUGGAGAUUGUGGAGGCAUCUCGGCACUGCCAUGCGCCUGGCAGCUCUGUCUCCAGCCGUCCCAGUCCAUGUCCCACCCCAGCAUAGGGGCUAGUCCAUGGUGUUAUACUGACUCGUUUCCUAAAACCAUGUUUUUAUAUAUAUAUAAUUUUGGCAGUUCAUAGACUGCAGCUCAUUUCCUUAACUAACUUUCUUUUUCCCUUCCUUCCUUGCUCUCUUUCUCUUCCUCCCUCCCUCUUUGCUUCUUUCCUCCCUCCCUCCUUUCUUUCUCUCUCUCCUCUGCUCUGCUCUUCUUUCUUUUCUUUUCUUUUCUUUUCUUUUCUUUUCUUUUCUUUUCUUUUCUUUUCUUUUCUUUUCUUUUCUCUCGCCACAUCACUGGGAGGGGAGCAAAAAAAUCAGGAAAAGAUUCUGAUUAAAGAUCCAUCAUAAAUUAAUGAAUAAAAGUGUAAUCCUAGCACUUCAUGCUAGAGUGGAACAUUUUAAAAAAUCAUGAAGUGAAACAUAAGAACACUAGAAAAGUUUGGAUUGGGGUAUAGAAAUUAUUUGGAAGACUGUGUGCUAAUCAGCAGCAAAUGUAAGAACCAGCUAGGUUGAUAGGGCAGUGAAUGACUUGUAUUUUUUAUAUUGGAGUUUUUCAAUCAGCAUUUUCUGAACAUGGUUUCUCAUUAUGAUAAUGAUGAUGGGAUUAAUUAUCACCAUGAGAACAAGCGAUAAUGGUACUUUGAACUGUAUUUGUCACCAUAUGACACAGACUAUUACUUGUUUUUACAUUCUCCGGGACGCGUGUGCACUGAAAGGGGCUGACCUGUGUGCUGGACGGCAGACUGGCCGGUGAUGAGAUGUCGAAAGAGGACUAACACCUGCCUGGGCAGGAUUUCUGCCCUUUUCCAUAUUCGUUACCUCACUGCAUGAAGGGAGCACCAGGAAAAUCAUUGAAAUUAGUCCUUGGGAUUAGUAUUCAGUUGCAGAGAGUAGUUUAAACAUGACAACUUUGUUUCUUGCCUUAUUUUAACACUUCAACACGUUUACAACCUUUAUAUUAUUAGGGAGAGGAGACUUCUCCAUACAAAUCCUGUUCCUAAAGGUGUCAUGCAAUUUAAUCACUAAAAUAGGUGGACUCUACAGUGAUUAGAUAUAUUUUUAUUUUAAAUAUUAUAUAUACUGCAUGCAAAGAAUAUUGAAUGUGAAAAUUUGGUCUCUUACACUAAAUAAAUGAGCACCUCAACACUGUAAAUUGCAGCAUGAUUUAUUUUGUAACUUUAAUUUUUGGGCCGGAGUCACAGGUGUCUAAGUGAAAAUGUGCAAUUACCUUCAAAGGAAUAAUAUUCUUUCAUAAAUCAAAUUUCCAAAAGGGGCUUUGCAAAAUUACUGCCAAAUUACGAGAGUUCAUUUCAGUCUGUGUUGGAGAGGAACCGUAAACCAAAGGCAGACCGGCGGCCAAGGCGAUGCAAGCAGAUCUGGCAACAGCGAUCAGGGGAGCUUCUGGCCGGUGGGACUAGUUUCAUAAGCCUCAGAUUGCUUCCACGCUGCUGAAAUGUGUGCUUGUUAACAGAUGGGGUGGCUAAAAGGUAAGUUAAACACUGAAAGCGUUUUGAUCCUUGAGCUGUGUCCAGUGAAUAUUUCAGAGAAGCACUUAAACAGAAAGUUAAAAUAUAUAGAAAUAGAAGAGGCUGCUUUAAAACCAAACCAACCUUAAGUCACAGUCAUAAAGUAUGCAUAAUUCUGAAAGGAGCUAAUUUCCGAAUCUCCUGUUCAUACCUGAUGAAUUUGAUGACAAAAAUAUUUGUUUGAAAUUUGUUCCACAUGCAGCUUUAUCAAAUAUCAAUUGUGUGUGUGAAUGUCAAGUUUUUUCUCUGAAGACGUUACCAGAACAAUGUGUUCUUCGUACGAACGUCCACCCGUAUCAGGGAAUGUGCUCCUGGACUCCUUUCCUUCUGAUUAAAUUUAUUCAAGGAAUGUGUAAGCAGCUUCUGGUGCUAUUUAGGGUCUCUUACUAUACUAACUAAUUAAUGUAUAACUGACAUACACGUACUCAGCUUUAAUAAUGUUAUCCGAUUAAUAAGCAAUAACUACUUCAGUAAAUCAAAAUUAAAUGCCCACUUAUGGCACUGAGUUUCGAACCCUCCUGCCUAGAGACUUUACAUUGAUUGAUUCAUUAAACAUUACAUUGUCUUAUGAAGAUUAGUGCAAAAAUCUUGUGAGCUGCUUUGCCUUUUGUUUUAUAUGGAAUGUUUUACUGAGUAGAGCAAAGUAUGUGUGAAAAAAAGCUGGGCCGAAGAAGGAAAACGUGUGCUGUGCUUCUUGGUAAGAUACAGAUGAACUGUAGAAUAGAAAAAAAAUCAUUUUAGUCAGUUGGGGAACCAUGCGUAGUGCUCAAGUGUUAAUUUUGGAAGCCAGCUUGUAAAUAAAAGCACAGCUCCUGACGUAGGGUGGACUUUGCCGAUGCGCUUUAAGUGCGGUCUGCAGAGCGGCUCCGGUACGGGAGGGCCAGGAGCUCACCCGGGAGCAGAGGACUCAGCCUACCCUUCCGCUCGGGGGGUUCGGACCACGGCAGCUCUCUCCCAGGAGAGGACGUGACCGCCGGGUUUUAGGCAGAGAUGGGCUCUUCUCCAGGCAGGACUGUGAGGGGGAGGAGGAACGCAGAGCUAUGUAUCACUGCGUGGAUUCAUGAGCCCAUUUUGUCAAAAAGUACUGUCCCAGCUGGAACCACCCAAAAGCUUGCUGGUGAUUUCAUAAAAGAUCCUGGAAGCCUGAUUAGGAGUGAAGAAGUAAAUAUCAACAUGAGGUUGGAAGGAAAGAGUGGCAGCCUUCAUUCCUGAAGGGAGAUGUCCCUGCAGGAGGAGUUUAGCCACUUAAUUCCCAAAUGAUCUGCAAAGCCCUGCUUUGCCCAUGGACCUCCAAAUGGGCAAUGUCAGAAUGAUGCAAUCACCCUGAAUUUUAGGUCACAGAUGAAAGUUUCACAAAAGAUGAAAAAUUCAAACUAUUCCUCUUAGUGUAAAGCUUUCCAUUUCAGUUAUACUAGUCUAUUUUGGCUACCUGCCUUAUACUUAAUAGAGAUGUACUUGUUACUUAUGUUUCAAAAAUAAGUAGUUUUCUAUUACAAUAAAGCUACUCUCUAGAGAGAGAUACAUUUUUAGUAUUAUAUUAUUUCCUAGAACUACAUUUCUCCCAAACUUCCAGACAUAUGGCCAACUUCACCACUUAUGCAUUAAAUUUGUUAGCUAUUCCAGUAUUUAUCAUAUGUUCCAAUCCACGUUUUUGCCAUUCUGUACUCAUUAAACGCUAGCAGACAUUAUGCAGAGUGCUGAGCACACAACGAUACCUUGAACACCAAAGGCCAAAUUUACAGAGUGAUUAGUUCAUGGAGAUUUAAUUGGUAAGUGAAGGAAUGUGAGGUAUAGGGAAGGCAGAUGGUUCAUACAAUACCUUACUUGUAUAAUAUAAAUAGAUAUAUGUAGACCAUGAGAAAGACUUACAGUGAUAGAAUUAUAUUUGUUGUCUAUAUUUUGCUUUCAAAUAUAAUGAGUUAUGCAAUCUUUAAGUAUUUUUUAUUGCUGUGGUUUCUAAUGUUGUCCUGACUUGGUAUUUCUUUACAGUUUUCCUUCUAUCUUGAAUAUUUUUGUCUGGCACUGAAAGCUGUUCAUUGUGAAAUGGAAUAAAAUCAGUGAAACACAACAUGUAAGUAGCAUUUCUGGUCACAGCGAGCCUCAGCUUAUGGUAAAUUUUGUCCGAUGAAAUCCCUCGGUGUGGUACUUACUUCUGUGUUCAGGGAUCUUUGGCUUUAACAAAGCUAUUCCAAGGACGAGCAUUUAACAGAAUGAUUACUUUUUACUUUUCUGUGAAACUCUAUUUUUUGCCACUGUGCUAACCUGCAAAAGACGAAGAUACAUCUUCACUUUCCUUUAAAGUUCUUCCAGUCGUUCCUGUUUAACUCAUUCCUCUAACAGUCCGUUUUAAGCGGCAACGCUGACAGCAAAACCUAUGAGGGUUUUCAGAUUCAAUAACCGCGAGUGGAAGGAAGGCAUCCCUCAUCGCAGCUUCAGCUCAGCAACUGCAGAUCCUUAACGCUACCCUCUACACUGGAGGUCUUCAGAGUCAUCCAUCUGCUGAAAGUGCGCUGACAGCUCGGAGCGGUCGUGUAGCGUCCGCAGUGCGCGGUGCUGCUCUCGGAGCUUGGUGCUUUCAGACCCCUUGCAAGGAGGUGACUUAGGAGGCGGCAGCUUGAGCUUUCUGCUUCUGCAGCACCUUCUCUGUGGGGGGACCGUGUUGCCUAGCUGGCCCAAACGUACGCGGGCAGGAAACCUGCCUUCGCCGGGAAAGUGGGCAACGCCGGUCAAGAGAUCGCCGGUCAGGAGAUGCUAAAAUAGAGGUUCGAAGUGCAAACAUGUUGUUGACGAUGGUAAUAUUUUUUUUUUUAAGAAUUUGUAAAAUAUAAGCCUAAUUCAAAAUCUGCACCUCAUCUUUCUGAUUUCCACUCCCGCCUCGCUGUCAGUUUGCUCUUCCCCUGGUCUCGAAACAGCAUUUUGCAAUGGUUUGCAACGACUGCUGUGUGGAUUUUCUGAGCCUUGUGUUGGCCAGAACUGAGCAGUUUGUGUUCAGUUACCGUUUCACAUCUUUCUCUGUCCCUUCCUCCUGAGCUUGUUUUUCCUAAAUACACAGCACAUUUUUGGAGCUACCAGAAUUUCUUUGAAAUAAAAGGUUUCCACAUUUGUCAGUUGGAAUAGUCACUUUCUUUUUUUUUUUUCCCCCUAAAAUAGUUUUCAACACAACUUUUAAUUACAAUAUCUUCCUUAUAUAAUACCAAAAAAAAAAAAAAAAGGGUGAUUUUUAGUUAUGUCAAAGGAAGUUGGGUCACAUAUGGGUGCUUGUAUUAGUGAGAUGACUGGAAUAUAUUGUGAUUGCUGAUCCUCAUUUGCUGUUGAAUUAAAAAAUGUAGAAAGGUGUUUUCUGUAAAACUUUAGAUAUUUUUUCUUCCUCUGUGCUUUCAACAUAUUGCUUUGGUCUGUUCAGGGUAACCGAAAAAGGUAUUUCUCCCAGAGCUUAUCCCAUUUCAUAUUAGAAAGUAUUUAAUUUAAUUUCUCAUCCUUCAGCAAACUACGCAUGUUUCUUAUUAGUGCACCUUUCUAUGAAAAACUUAGUUAUGUGGACAUACAAAAGGGUUUUUUUGUUAUAUGCUAACCACUUUUUUUCUGCAGUGGAUUUAAAGGUGCUUUCCCUGUGAUAGUGAAAGACCUCUAGGUACCCUGAUUCCCAGCUCAGGAGACUAUAUAUGUAUGUAUGUAUGUAUAUGUCUAUACAUAUAUAUAUAUAUAUAUAUAUAUAAAUCUAUAUCUAUAUCUGUAUCUAUAGGGAUAUGUGUAUUUAGGUAAAGACAGAUAAUAUUACCUCUUGUUUAUAGACUGGAGGGAAAAGGCUGAUAAAUUUUCUGUGAAACAAACUCUUUCUAAGGUUUAAACUUGCCAGCUAAACUGUGAAACACGUGCAAGCCCAGUGUCCCGAACCUGCCAGACAGGACCUGCUUUGGUGGCAGCUCUUGGUGCAGCAGAAAGAGCUCGUGGCAGCAGAAAGGCCCGGGCUGCGUAAGCUUUCAGCCCCGUGUCCCUCCAGUUUAAUGGGGCAGUUGUUGAGAAGAGGGCUAAAAAGAUGAUGCUGAAAUCACCAUGGAAAGAGUUUUGCUCUCAUUCGCUGAGAUACAUUUCCAGUGGGCUCUUUUGCUCCUAAUCCAGUUUUCUUCGCUGCCGUCGUAGUCUCGGUGCAUGUCUGCUUUUUGCAUACUAAUAUGCUGCAGGUUCCCCGGGGAAUGUGCUGAUUCUGCAUCAGACUUUGGGGUUAGUUUCAGAGGGACCGGUGGCUGUUUGAGGCUGCUUCUUGCCCGGUCCGCGUCACCUGCCGUAGGGGUUGGGCGCAGCGUUGGUGGCUGAGCCUCGCUGACUUCACCUUCACCUCCAUUACACCUUGUUAGACUAUUUGCACAUGUAUUUUUAGGCCUGAAAAUGUCACCAGCUAAUUAUCAGUUUUAAAGGAGUGUUAAGACUCUUCAUAAAAAUGAUGGCAAACAGUGCAAAAGUAUUUUUUUCAUGUUAAAAUUCCAACAUAAAUGAGGAUUUGGCGUAUAAAUGCCUUAGGAAGGCAGGAUAAGGAUUCAACAUGUAAACUGAAGGUUGGUCACUUCUACAUAUGAGCUUCAGGAUGCUGAUCUUUACUGCAGUACACGAUCACCUGCUCCUUUUCCAUCAAGGCAAUAUAAUGGCAUUCACACUGAAGUGAGUCCAUUUUUAGCUCUAACAAGAAUGGUUUCCUCUGUGCUUUAAAAAAUCACAGAGAAAGGGAGACAUUAUGCGUGAUCACUCUCACAGUGUACCGUUUAGUCCUGCAGCUGAUUCAGGUUUCCUUUGCAGAUAUCGGGAGGGGACACAUUCUGCUCUUUCUGGCAUCAAAGCUUGGAGUCUAAACCACUAAGCAGUCCAUAUUUUCUGCAUGUGCAAAGAAAUUCCUAGUGUUCUGGAGCCGCGGACACUUCAGGCUACACUGAAGAAUAUUCCAUGUAUUUAAGGCGUUUAAAUUGUACAUAUGGACAUAAUGAACUGAUGCACUGACUAUAAUAAAGUAAGUUAUUCUCUUCUAUAUUUAAAUAUUCUGCUUUACAAAAAUCCAUUUAAAGGAGUCCUGGUCAGCUUUCAUUAAGGCUAUAUUUAAACAAUCUCAUUUACCCUCUCCAAUGAAUGUAAAACUUCGGAUUACUGGGCAUGAAGUGUUUUAGAAAGAAAGAAGUUAUUCUGAGUAUUUAGUUGAUUCAAGUGAACCAUAGAGGACCUAUGCAACGAAGCUGAUCAUCUGAGAAUUUCACUCUGUUUGUUUUUCCUCUGUUCCUAUUUGUUUUUCCAGCCUGAAACAUUAAAUACCGGUACUCAAGUAAAUGUAUUUUGUGAAGCAUCAAUUACAGUACAAAAGAAAACCACUGAUUGCACAUCUCUUCACGUGCAUAAAAAUGUUUCUUCAUCUUGCAAUCCCUCUGUAAAUGAUUCUUUCAGAAAGAUUUACUGAAUCCUCGCUGUGGCUGUUUGUCUGGUAGAUUGGAAAUACCUCCUUUCUGAUGUAUGCUUUUCCAAAAAAAAAAAAAAAAAAAAAAAAGAAAGAAAAAAAGGAAAGAAAAGCAAAAGAAACACCCCAAGACCAACUAUAUGUUAUUUAUAUUUGUUUGGAUUUAAAAGUACACUAAAAAAAGUGCAUCUGGCAUUCCAGUCACCUUUGGCAAAAGUUUAAAGAGCCACGAAAUCAAAGCGUAGCAAAUGAGAUCCUGCAGCUACUUGCCCGGUGCCUGGAGAAGCUGCUUGAAAACCCACAUUCUAGGUAGUGCUAGUUUUGUUUCUGGGCACAGAUUGCUUCCUCCGAAUUUUAAAGUGCUUGUAAUAGUGUGUUUUUAAAGGCAAUGUCUUCCAGCUGAACGAAGCGACCCUCGUGCAGCCGGGGUGGGACCCCGGGCGCAAACCCUUGCGGCUGCCGAUCGGUCUGACGAAGCCGGUUGCUCCUGCUCCUCUCUACCUACCUAUCACCUAAUUCUUUAAAGCUCCUUUGACGUGUGUUUACCAGUCGCUAUAUGUCGCGAUAGAGUUACUGCACACCGAGAGCUGUGAAAACGCCCAGGAAAUUUUGCACGCUUUUAAAAACGAUAGCGGGCCGCUUGUCGUAUAAUUAUGUGAAAAAGAAACAUGUGUCUUAAAGUCUUGAAAUAAUCAACAAUACAUAUUUGGAAAUAGAAUAAAAUCCAUCCCUGUGCUGUUCUUCCA